CUCUCUCUCUCUCUCUCUCUCUCUCUCUCUUUUACAGCCGUCCAGCGUCCACAGUCUGCUCAGUUAGUUAGAGAUACACGCUCAGCCACAGGAGCGCAAGAAAAGACAAGAAGAAGAAAAAGAAGAGGAGGAGAAGCAGAGGUGGGGAGGCAAACAAAGCAGACAGAGAACGAGGAGGUGGGCAGCACAGUUUCAGCUCUCACAAGGCUGAGGAGGAGAAAGUGAAGGCAGAGAGAACUUGGCCACUAGUGAAAUGAAAUUCUGGGAGGAGACGGUGGAGCGCUGCGGGGUACGAUAUCCACCGAGAGCCCUGAAAUUGGAAAGCCUGGAAGACAAGCCAGCCCUCUCUGGAUCCUCUGCCUCACCACAGCCGAAGGAUGAGAGGGGACCACUUUCACCUUAGUUGCCAGGGAUGUCUGUGCACUACGGAAAGGCUUCCCCCUUCAGCAUGUCCAAUGCUAUGUUAUUCCUGAUGCUUUGUAAGAUUGGUCUGAGACAUAAACUGCACACUUUGCCUGGGAAAAUGGUAAACAAUCUCCACUGUGAUGAGGAAAAGGGAAUCCAAGACAAGGAAAGUAAGGAGGAGAGCAUCCUGGCGAUGUUGGGCAUCAUUGGGACGGUUCUCAACUUGGUAGUCAUCAUCUUUGUCUACAUCUACACAACACUGUAGACCUUGAACUUUUACUGAACUCAAAGCUCGGGCAGAUCAGAUCUCAGCAGCGCCGCUGACACAGCACAGUGUUGCCUGAUCUGGAGAUGAGGAUGGGAGGUGCAAAGAAGAGGCAAACCUCCCCUGAUGUUGAACGGGAUUUAAGACUAUGUGAUUGCAAUAUGGCAUCCGUCCUGCAUCUCUUUGAGCAGCUUAGACAAUGGGAAACUGGCUUGUUCCUCUGGCCUUCACAGGUAGAAUUAACGAGAAUACCUAGUCAGGUUUGACUUGUACAUAAAUGCAUGAAGCUAACAAGAGAGGCUCAAAGGAUGCAGAUUUUUACCAACAUGGGGACUUCAAAGGCUGCGGAGAAGGCAUGGACACUUUUUAAAACUAUUUUUCAGAUACUGUUCUUAACUAAAUAUAGCAGAUGUUUUUUUAUUUGCUGAAACGGGUUAGAGGUGAAGAUGUACAUAUAAGGUAGCCACAGAUUUCUGCUUUGCAGUUUGUUGUUUUUCUUGAAGAUGAUCUCAGUGAAACAUAAUAUUCAUUGGUUAAUUUGAGAUUUAAACAGACAUAUUGCAAAUUUAAUGUCCGUUUUGAUACAGUUUCUUUUUCUAAUUAGCCCUAAAAUAAUUGAUCAUGGAUGGUGUUUUAUUAAUUGGGACUAAAUCAACCAAACCUGUGCGAAGUUCAUACAAUUGUCAGAUAAACCUUCAAAUAUCGAUAUAAAAUGUGUCUUUUAUUGGCGUUAGCUUUGUUUGAAGUGCUAAAUCCCUAUCCAUAACCAAAUAUAUUUGACAUUGAGGUUGACAUGAAAUGGCCAAGGACCAAGCAGGUUCAUAUUAAUGGCUUUACGUCUUAUUAUUUCAGUUUUUAACAUGUCACUUCAUGGUCUCAUAGGCUGAAGAAAGUGGCAUCCAUUUGUAAGAAAAUGAUUUCAAUAUUUACAAAAGUCUUAGCUCUGGAGGCUGAGGAGUGGCAGGCUUUGAGUUUGGAUUAAUGGGACACACUGCAACCUGUCCAAUCAUAGGUGUAUAUAGAAUUUACACAGCUCGACAGCAAAAGAUAGUUUCCAUCUAUUGAUAUGUUUGUGCAUCAAUGAUUUUCAACUUUGACAUGUGCAUAAUGACUAUAUGCCUUAAAACUUGAGGAAAUGACUAUUUCCAUGAUGUAUAAAACUAUCAGGUUAUUGCUACUUUGUGAAAGGGAACACUUGUUGUAUAUAUAUGUGUUCCGUGGCCUAUGAUGUUGUUUUUAUUUAUAAGAGAUAACUUUGUUGGGUAAUUUUUGAAAGUAACCUUCUGUCUGAAACAACAUGCUAAACCUUAAAGCUCAUAAAUCGUGUCUUUGUGGUGUUUUCAGAUCGAAGACAACUUCCUUUUCUUCAUUUAGAUACUUUCUGUGGUGUAUGAUGGGUGUGGGGCUCACACUGAACAAUACUGUGAAUGUUGUGAAAUUAUAUGAUCACAAGAGCUUUAAUUGUGACUCCUAGUCAAGUCUGGAGGCCUGCAUUUUUUCCCAUUAUGUUAGGAAGUCCUUCGUUUCUCUUUUUGAAUUAAAUAAUCAAAUGAUUCUACCACUUGGGAAAUACACUUUGAGUCUUAGUUGGUGUAAUUCUGUUCCCUUUUCACAAAUUAUCUCACGUACUUGAACUUGAUGUAUGGUGAACCUUUAAGGUGAAGGUUGUGUUUUUGGACAGACCAAUACAGGAUGUAUUUCCCUGUGUUUAAUCUUUAUGCUAGUUUAAUUCAUUUCCUGGCAGCCUAUUUGGGAGAAAAGGUGAAGAGAUUAUAAAACUUUAAAACCUUUUAACUGCAGGCAUGCACACACUAAGGUCCGAUUUUGGUUGCAUAUCAGGUGACUUAAUAUAAAGAGCGAGAAAGACAAACAAGACUUUCACCAAGUAGAAAGUGUUUUAUGUCUCGUGUGAAACUUAAAGACAGCACUGAUUUAUUCAAUAACACAUUUAAGUUGUGUGUUUUAAGUAACAUAAAUCUAACUAUGUGCACAUGUUGUUGUUUUCCAUUGUGUUUUCCCCAAUCCAACAAAGUAAAACCUGAAAGAGACUGCUUCAAAACAUCAACUUUGUGCUAAUUACUGUUACCGUGAUGAGAAAGGUCAACUUACUGUUGUUACCAGGACAUCUAAAGUCACCUGUGAUCAUCAGACAAAUGUCACCCUACUCUGUCCUUCCCUGCUUGUAGCUUCUUCUUACCAAAGUUCCUAAAACAAGAAAAAGAUAUGCUGUUAAUGGACUUUUCAAGAUUCUGUUUGAUGCAGACACACCUCCCCCUGCAGCAGUUCCUUCUAAUCAUCAGUAUCGACAGAUAUUGCAUAACAAUGCAGAUCUGUAAGUAAAGGGCCUUUUUUGGUAUCAGACAUGUUCUGGUUUGUGUUUGAAGUCCAAGGAUAUAUGUCUGUAAAACUGUACAUCAUCCACUAGUGUUUCAGCUGGUUUCAAUUGUGUGAGAGUGAGCAAACCAUGUGGAGGCAAAAGGAGAGAAAAGCAAUCCAUUGCAAUACUAAAACCCAUCAUCAGUCAUCGUACGAUGAUUUCAUUGUAUACCUUGUAUAAUGAUCAUCUCACUCCCUGAAAAAGUGUGUGAUAAACAUAUUUCCUAAAAUAUCAAACUAUUUAAAAUAAAAUCAAAGCUAUUGGAGUUGCAAAAAUGUCUAUGAAAAUAAUGUACAGUAUUUACAGAAUGUAAACAUGGACUACGAAGUAUGUUUAGGUUUGUAGGACAAUAACCUCAUGACUUCAGAAAGUGCCUGACAUCAAAGCAUCUCAAUCUCAGCUGUCUUGAGAUGAAGGAAAGUAAAACACAAACCAAUGAAAUUAAGUCAUUUGCAGAAAAACGCUUCUCCUUAUUUACUGCCCUUCAGGACGGGAUUUGUACUUCAUCACUCAGUUGAUAAAGUCACCUUUUUUGUCUGUUUUUUUCCACAGAAUGACGAAGGCCUAGAAAGCACACAAACAAGUUGUUUGAAUGUAUUCAUAUUUAAUGUAAAUCUGAUUAUUCUUAUGGGUUAUUUAUUUUUCCUAAAUAUGUAAUCUGAAUUUGCUUCUAUGCUUUCUUUAUGUGUAUGCUAAUCUAUUUAAACUAAUUUAUUAGGUGCUUGUUGUUGGCAGAUGGAAGGGUUUUUCAGCCUGCAGUUUGAGUAAAAAACAUUGAAUAAAUAUUUCUUGAAGCUGAUUUAUUUGGGAUGUUUGGGCUUGUAUGGUAUAAAGGAAUGAAUAUCAAUGGUUUAUAUAUCGAUGUAUACUCUAGUAAUUAAACAUUACCAUUGUUCUUCA